AGCUCUACUAGUUUAUGCAAAUGUUGCUGCAGUUAAAACGCUCCUAUUCGGUGCUUUAGGAUUGUGCAGUUCCCGGCCUCUCGGCUGUGUGAAUUGUGCGGUUCUUUUCCUCGAGUAAUCGGGUUGUUACCAUGAUUAAAUUGUAGCGCUCAGAGCAGGCUUACGCAGCUGAUCAACUUAGCAUGGGAUAACAAAUCACGACUUUUUGUGAUGUGUUGGACAUUUUGGAGAGUAAUGAGUAAUAGGGGCGGUUGGGGGCCUUAGUACGAUGUCGUUAGAGGUGAAAUUCCAAGAUCGACGUCAGACUAACUGAAGCGAAAGCGUUGGCCAAGGACGCUCUCA
rnacentral:rRNA from 1 species